AAUUAAGAAGUCUAAAAAAAUGAAAAUGAAAAGACCAUCUCUGAAUCGAUGAGGGGGCCUAAGGGUACAUCUUUCACCAUCUUACAAUGGCGUCUUUGCAGCCAUUCCUCAAUUAUCUGUGAAUAGUUCUCAUGGCGAUUGAUCCAUGGUCUUUGAUCAUCAAUGGUCAAU